rnacentral:tRNA from 1 species
GGAGAGGUGUCCGAGUGGCCGAAGGUGCCUGAUUCGAAAUCAGGUGUGGGGGCAACCCUACCGUGGGUUCGAAUCCCACUCUCUCCG